rnacentral:rRNA from 1 species
GAUGAACGCUGGCGGCGUGCCUAAUACAUGCAAGUCGAACGAGGUGCUUUUGUAGCAAUACGAGAGUAUCCUAGUGGCGAACGGGUGAGUAACGCGUUGGUGACCUACCCCAAAGUGUGGGAUAACAGUCCGAAAGGAUUGCUAAUACCGCAUGUGGUCAUUGGAUUUAGAAACUGAUGACUAAAGGAGCAAUUCGCUUUGGGAGGGACCUGCGUCCCAUCAGCUAGUCGGUGAGGUAAUGGCUCACCAAGGCGACGACGGGUAGGGGACCUGAGAGGGUGACCCCCCACAAUGGAACUGAAACACGGUCCAUACACCUACGGGUGGCAGCAGUAGGGAAUAUUGCUCAAUGGGCGAAAGCCUGAAGCAGCAACGCCGCGUGUGUGAUGAAGGCCUUCGGGUCGUAAAGCACUUUUCUGGGAGAUGAGAAAGGACAGUAUCCCAGGAAUAAGUCUCGGCUAACUACGUGCCAGCCGCCGCAGUAAAAC